rnacentral:rRNA from 1 species
GAUGAACGCUGGCGGCGUGCCUAAUACAUGCAAGUCGAGCGAACAGACGAGGAGCUUGCUCCUCUGACGUUAGCGGCGGACGGGUGAGUAACACGUGGAUAACCUACCUAUAAGACUGGGAUCACUUCGAGACACCGGAGCUAAUACCGGAUAAUCUAUUGAACCGCAUGGUUCAAUGGUGAAAGACGGUUUUGCUGUCACUUCUAGAUGGAUCCGCGCCGCUUUAGCUGGUUGGUAGGGUAACGGCCUUCCAAGGCGACGAUGCGUAGCCGACCUGAGAGAGUGGUCGGCCACACUAGAGGUGAGACACGGUCCAGGGUCCUAAGAGAGGCAGCAGUAGGGAAUCUGCCGCAGUGGGCGAAAGCCUGACGGAGUGAGGGCGAGUGAGAGAUGAAGGUCUUCCGAUCGUAAAGAUCUGUUAUUAGGGAUGAACAAAUGUGUAAGUAGCUAUGCCCGUAUUGACGGUACCUAGUCAGAAAGCAACGGCUAACUACGUG